rnacentral:rRNA from 1 species
UACGAAGGGGGCUAGCGUUGUUCGGAAUCACUGGGCGUAAAGGGCGCGUAGGCGGCUUUGUAAGUCGGGGGUGAAAGCCUGUGGCUCAACCACAGAAUUGCCUUCGAUACUGUAGAGCUUGAGACCGGAAGAGGCGAGUGGAAUUCCCGGUGUAGCGGUGAAAUGCGCAGAUAUCGGGAGGAACACCUAUUGCGAAGGCAGCUCGCUGGGACGUUACUGACGCUGAGACGCGAAAGCGUGGGGAGCAAACAGG